rnacentral:rRNA from 1 species
GAUGAACGCUGGCGGCGUGCCUAAUACAUGCAAGUCGAGCGAACAGACGAGGAGCUUGCUCCUCUGACGUUAGCGGCGGACGGGUGAGUAACACGUGGAUAACCUACCUAUAAGACUGGGAUAACUUCGGGAAACCGGAGCUAAUACCGGAUAAUAUAUUGAACCGCAUGGUUCAAUAGUGAAAGACGGUUUUGCUGUCACUUAUAGAUGGAUCCGCGCCGCAUUAGCUAGUUGGUAAGGUAACGGCUUACCAAGGCAACGAUGCGUAGCCGACCUGAGAGGGUGAUCUGCCACACUGGAACUGAGACACGGUCCCGACUCCUACGGGAGGCAGCAGUAGGGAAUCUUCCGCAAUGGGCGGAAGCCUGACGGAGCAACGCCGCGUGAGUGAUGAAGGUCUUCGGAUCGUAAAACUCUGUUAUUAGGGAAGAACAAAUGUGUAAGUAACUAUGCACGUCUUGACGGUACCUAAUCAGAAAGCCACGGCUAACUACGUG